rnacentral:rRNA from 1 species
UGCACUUACAAGCUGUGGAAGCACAUUUCUUGUGUGACCGCGUACUUUUUGUAGAACGGGCCAACGAGUUACGUUAAGUAGCAAGGUUAAGCACUUAAGGUGCGGAGCCGUAGCGAAAGCGAGUUUUAACUGAGCGUUCAGUUACUUGACGUAGACCCGAAACCGGGCGACCUACCCAUGAGCAGGAUGAAGCGAAAGUAAAAUU